GGAACAUUUUUUGAUAAAAAAAAUUUUGGUAUUUAUUAGCAAUAAUCACAUUUUUUAAAAAAGGAAAGCUAUAGUCUUUGCAAAUUCUAUUUGAAAAUUAAUGUAUAGAUUUGGGAAAUAUAUCCCGGUGGAAGGCAUAUGAUAAACUUUAACGCAGAGGACAAUGCUUUCUAAGGAAAUCAGGAUACGAACCUUGUGUCACUGACAGGAGCUGGUGCAGGUUAAGAAGAAGAAUGAAAAUACAUUAAGCUUGCAGAGAAACCAUCCUUUCUGCAUGGAUGUGAGAGCUUUAGAGCAAGAACAGCUUAGGGGAGAUAAGCCCAGCUCUUAUUCCCAGCAAAAGGGAACUGGAGUUAAGAACAUUUUAUAAGAAUCAGUGUUAAACUAGGUAGGGGUUUACUUGGCCAUCAAGAGUGCAGUUUUCACUUGCACUGAGAGGCCAGACUUAGGGCUCAGAUAGAAAGGAAUGUGCUUCCCUAGCACCCAAGGGAACCGAGAAAGAGAAAUUUAGCAGCUGCUUCAAAUCUUCUUAGUAGCAGUCGGGGUAUAUAGCUAAACUAACCAAACAAAUAAAUGGCUCUGGGUUUGGACUGGCAGUGGAAAGAAGUGAACUAGAAUGGAAACUGGAAACAAUUUAAAAGACAGCUCUGUAUGGGAACAUGAGUGAAAUGGCUUUAUGCAACACAUAUGCUUAUUUGCCUCCUUUGUACCUAAUUUGUACCUAACGAUCUGCUUGGACUAGAUAACCAGUUAUACACCCUAAAUGGAUGACAGUGAAAUGAAUCUGGAGUGAAAGCACACACAUCCCAGAGGCAGAGUGUGAGCUCCUCACGGGACUGUCUGCGUCUUUGAUAAAGGUACCCAGGGACACAUAGGUAGCGUGAAUUUGUGCCUUCAAACGUAAGAGGACCUGCUUGUUGCAAGAAACUCUCAGGGAAACAUUCCCUACCCACCGGCAUCUAGCCAAAUCCAAGGCUAAACAGGUCUGCGUUUGUAAUAUUUUGCAAUUCUUAAGAAGAAACAGAAGAAAGGCUGGCGGCCCCUCCUCUUUCCACCAACCCCAGCAUUCAAUAAAUACAGCAGAGGCCACCGUGUUGUUGGACUCGGGCCUCGCUGGCCGCCCCGCAACCCCCACACCUCUUUCCCCUGGAACCCUGAAGAGGUUUCCUCUCUCUUCUCACGGAGGUGAGGCCAACACUGGUGGUUGGAAGGUCUUGGCUGAUAUCAGUUUGCCCCCUGAGGGGGGUCUACCUCAGACAUGCAGCAAACCCAGGGCCUGGUCCUAUCAGGAUGUUAUAUUUUAAGGAUCAGCAAUCAAAACCAAAGACGGCUUUCCAUGCCCUGGAAGUAAAUGCUCAAUUCAAAAUUGCAAUGAGACAUUUCUCAUGAGCAUCUUCCUCCCACCAUCUUCAUAUUCCUCUUGAAUUUUUUUUUCUUAUUCCCUUUUUAUCAUGCACUGUAUGGCAAGUUCUUUGUAUAUAUUAAAUCACUUAAUCCUCAUAAAACCUACUGGCAUUAUUGAAACUAUUUUAUGGAUAAGUCUCGAAGCAGACUUUCUCAGCCUUGGCACUAUUGACAUUUGGGACGUGAUCAUUCUUUUUUAUUUAUUUAUUUAGAAAAAAAUUUUUUAUGUAUAUAUUUUUUUUAUUUUUGAGACAGAGAGAGACAGAACAUGAACGGGGGAGGGUCAGAGAGAGGGAGACACAGAAUCUAAAACAGGCU
ensembl:lncRNA